rnacentral:rRNA from 1 species
GACGAACGCUGGCGGCGUGCUUAACACAUGCAAGUCGAACGGACAGGCCCUGCUUUUGUGGGGUGCUCGAUUGGCGAACGGGUGAGUAACACGUGAGUAACCUGCCCUUGACUUUGGGAUAACUUCAGGAAACUCGGGCUAAUACCGGAUAUGAGCUCCUGCUGCAUGGUGGGCGUUGGAAAGUUUCGGCGGUUGGGGAUGGACUCGCAGCUUAUCAGCUUGUUGGUGGGGUAGUGGCUUACCAAGGCUUUGACGGGUAGCCGACCUGAGAGGGGGGCCGGCCACAAUAGGACUGAGAUACGGCACAGACUCCUACGGGAGGCAGCGGUGGAGAAUAUUGCACAAUAGGCGGAAGCCUGAGACAGCAACGCCGCGUGCGGGAUGACGUCCUUCGGGUUGGAAACCGAUGUCGCCUGAGACGAAGCGUGAGUGACGGUAAUGGGUAAAGAAGCACCGGCUAACUACGUG